AAAAGGCAAAUAGCAGCCCACCUGGAGUUUGCCAAAAGACAACUGAAGGACUCUCUGACCAUGAGAAACAAAAUUCUUUGGUCUAAUGAGACAAAGAUUGAACUCUUUGGUGUGAAUGUCAGGUAUCAUGUUUGAAAGAAACCAGGCGCUAUCCCUACAGUGAAGCAUGGUGGUGGCAGCAUCAUGCUCUGAAGAUGCAACAGGAACUG